AGUUGACGAGCGUUUGGAAUAUCAUUAUAUUUGACUUUUUAGAAGACGCAGCUGGAUUAGAGCGGGUAGUGUCACAGGUCAGGAGAUUCAGAGCAGUGAUCGUGCGGUUUAGAGAAUUAGUAUUAGAUUUAUAACAUUUGUUUUGUGAGGAGAAUUAUACUCUUUGACUUUUAUAAUUUGUUUUAGUGAGAGUGUGCUGUAAUAAGUAGCUUGAGGAUUUGGUUUAUGUAAUAUCAAGAGGUGUAAUUAGUGGUUGCUUCUGAGAGAAAAAUUCAGAAUGUAUUUGUAUCAUUAUUAGUCAUGUUCCGGAUUAGAAUCCUUAUUUCAAAAUUCGGGGUGUGACAGAUCGGGUAUACCUCAAAACUGGCCCGUCCCGGCCCGUGCCCAGCCCUACUCUUGGCCAUGAUUGUUGGAAAGUAUCGGUGCAUGAAGUUUUUCAUGAUAUAGCCUUGUAUCGCCCAACAAGCGAGUUUAGUAAACUGUAUGCAUCCACAGGAAGUAUGAUUGCAUGGCCUAUCAAGUACAUCAAAGUGAAUUAGGCAUUUUGGAGGUAAAAGUUGGCAUCAAACAUAAUAUGAAGAUGUUCAAGAGGCCACAACAUAGAUCACUAUAGAUUUAUCUUUUGCAAUUAACAAAGACAAUUCUAAUCUAAGGUGGUCUCUAAUAAUCUAGAAUAUUUUAUAUUUUAGCAUGGUGAUGAUAGACUGUUGGUUUAAUUAAGUUGUUUUUAUAUAGUACUAGUGUUGUUGGCAUAUUCAUUUAUAUUUGGUAAUGUGAUACUUGCAGUUUGUUA